UUCCAGCUCCAAUAGCGUAUAUUAAAGUUGUUGCGUUUAAAAAGCUCGUAGUUGAAUCUGUGUGUCGCACUGUCGGUUCACCGCCCGCGGUGUCAACUGGCACGUUGCGAGACGUCCUGCCGGUGGACUGUAGGUAUAUCAUUUCGGUGGUAUGCCAAGGUCCGGUUUUUUGUUAAAAAUCCUGUCCUGGUGCUCUUGAUUGAGUGUCUCGGCAGGCUGGCACGUUUACUUUGAACAAAUUAAAGUGCUCAAAGCAGGCGAAAAUUAUGCUUAAAUAGUGUGUGCAUGGAAUAAUAUAAUAGGACCUCGGUUCUAUUUUGUUGGUUUUCGGAACAUUCCGAGGUAAUGAUUAAUAGGGACAGAUGG
rnacentral:rRNA from 1 species